UUCUUCCUGAGAUGUGCGAUAGUCUAUGGUAAUUCAACCGACAUAGUUUAUACGGGAGUCUAAGUUCAUUAGUGGAUGAUAGGCCUAACUACAUUGGUAAUCAGAAUCUAGUGGCAGGACACCCACCUGCAGAUAUGCGGGUGUGAAUUAGCUAGGCAAACGGCAUCCCGGGAAUAUA
rnacentral:other from 1 species